rnacentral:rRNA from 1 species
GGAUUGACUCGAUGGUCGUGCCUUAAGGGGUAUGAACUGUCGUUGUUGAUUUCUCACCUUCUGGAGAAGCUCGAUGUCCUUAAUUGGAUGUCUUGUGGAACCAGGACCUUUACCUUGAAAAAAUUAGAGUGUUUAAAGCAGGCAUUUUGCUCGAAUACAUUAGCAUGGAAUAAUAGAAUAGGACGGCAUGGUUCUAUUUUGUUGGUUUCUAGGAUCACCGUAAUGAUUAAUAGGGAUAGUUG